rnacentral:rRNA from 1 species
GACGGAGGAGGCUAGCGUUGUUCGGAAUUACUGGGCGUAAAGCGCGCGCAGGCGGUCUUGCAAGUCAGGGGUGAAAGCCCGGGGCUCAACCUCGGAACUGCCUUUGAGACUGUGAGACUCGAGACCGAGAGAGGAGAGUGGAAUUCCCAGUGUAGCGGUGAAAUGCGCAGAUAUCAGGAGGAACACCGAUUGCGAAGGCAGCUCGCUGGGACGUCACUGACGCUGAGACGCGAAAGCGUGGGGAGCAAACAGG